rnacentral:rRNA from 1 species
UACGAAGGGGGCUAGCGUUGCUCGGAAUCACUGGGCGUAAAAGCGCACGUAGGCGGAUUGUUAAGUCAGGGGUGAAAUCCUGGAGCUCAACUCCAGAACUGCCUUUGAUACUGAGGAUCUUGAGUUCGGGAGAGGUGAGUGGAACUGCGAGUGUAGAGGUGAAAUUCGUAGAUAUUCGCAAGAACACCAGUGGCGAAGGCGGCUCACUGGCCCGAUACUGACGCUGAGGCACGAAAGCGUGGGGAGCAAACAGG